UGGGGAAUUUUGGACAAUGGGCGAAAGCCUGAUCCAGCAAUGCCGCGUGUGUGAAGAAGGCCUUCGGGUUGUAAAGCACUUUUGUCCGGAAAGAAAUCCUUGGCUCUAAUACAGUCAGGGGAUGACGGUACCGGAAGAAUAAGCACCGGCUAACUACGUGCCAGCAGCCGCGGUAAUACGUAGGGUGCAAGCGUUAAUCGGAAUUACUGGGCGUAAAGCGUGCGCAGGCGGUUUGCUAAGACCGAUGUGAAAAUCCCCGGGCUCAACCUGGGAACUGCAUUGGUGACUGGCAGGCUAGAGUAUGGCAGAGGGGGGUAGAAUUCCACGUGUAGCAGUGAAAAUGCGUAGAGAUGUGGAGGAAUACCGAUGGCG
rnacentral:rRNA from 1 species